AUUGAACGCUGGCGGCAUGCCUUACACAUGCGAGUCGAACGGCAGCACGGGAGCAAUCCUGGUGGCGAGUGGCGAACGGGUGAGUAAUAUAUCGGAACGUGCCCGGUCGUGGGGAUAACGUAGCGAAAGCUACGCUAAUACCGCAUACGAUCUACGGAUGAAAGCGGGGGAUCGCAAGACCUCGCGCGAUUGGAGCGGCCGAUAUCAGAUUAGGUAGUUGGUGAGGUAAAAGGGCUCACCAAGCCGACGAUCUGUAGCUGGUCUGAGAGGACGACCAGCCACACUGGGACUGAGACACGGCCCAGACUCCUACGGGAGGCAGCAGUGGGGAAUAUUGGACAAUGGGC
rnacentral:rRNA from 1 species